rnacentral:rRNA from 1 species
AAGAGGUCUCGUGGUGACCAGCGGAGGGAUCAUUAGCGAGUUUUAAACUCCAACCCUCGUGGACAUACCUAUCGUUGCUUCGGCGGGGCUCCCCUUCCAGGGGCGCUGCAGGGCCUGCCCUGCGCCCGCCGGCAGCACGCAAACCAAAAACCUGUAUUACUGUCGUAUUCUGAGUGGACUACAAAUAAGUCAAAACUUUCAGCAACGGAUCUCUUGGUUCUGGCAUCGAUGAAGAACGCAGCGAAAUGCGAUAAGUAAUGUGAAUUGCAGAAUUCAGUGAAUCAUCGAAUCUUUGAACGCACAUUGCGCCCACUAGUAUUCUGGCGGGCAUGCCUGUUCGAGCGUCCUUUGGACCCUCGGGCCCACUGUGAAUUUCCGCAGCGGGGCCCGGUGUUGGGGCUGCGCGGCUGGCCGCGCUCCCCUAAAUCCAGUGGCGGACCCCUCCGUGGCCCUGGCGUAGUAACUUUUCUCGCCUUCGGACGCGGCGCGGGCCUUGCCCACAGCACCAACUAAACAAAGUUGGACCUCGAAUCAGGUAGGAAUACCCGCUGAACUUAAGCAUAUCAAUAAGCGGAGGA